rnacentral:rRNA from 1 species
GACGAACGCUGGCGGCGUGCUUAACACAUGCAAGUCGAACGCUGAAGCUUGGUGCUUGCACUGGGUGGAUGAGUGGCGAACGGGUGAGUAAUACGUGAGUAACCUGCCCUUGACUCUGGGAUAAGCCUGGGAAACUGGGUCUAAUACUGGAUACGACAUGCCACUGCAUGGUGGUGUGUGGAAAGGGUUUUACUGGUUUUGGAUGGGCUCACGGCCUAUCAGCUUGUUGGUGGGGUAAUGGCCUACCAAGGCGACGACGGGUAGCCGGCCUGAGAGGGUGACCGGCCACACUGGGACUGAGACACGGCCCAGACUGCUACGGGAGGAAGCAGUGGGGAAUAUUGCAAAAUGGGCGGAAGCCUGAUGCAGCGACGCCGCGUGAGGGAGGACGGCCUUCGGGUUGUAAACCUCUUUCAGCACGGAAGAAGCGAGAGUGACGGUACGUGCAGAAGAAGCGCCGGCUAACUACGUG